GACAGAGGGGGCAAGCGUUGCUCGGAAUUACUGGGCGUAAAGGGCUCGUAGGCGGCCAACUAAGUCAUACGUGAAAUCCCCCGGCUUAACCGGGGAACUGCGUCUGAUACUGGAUGGCUUGAGUUCGGGAGAGGGAUGCGGAAUUCCAGGUGUAGCGGUGAAAUGCGUAGAUAUCUGGAGGAACACCGGUGGCGAAGGCGGCAUCCUGGACCGGCAUUGACGCUGAGGCACGAAAGCCAGGGGAGCAAACGGG
rnacentral:rRNA from 1 species